rnacentral:rRNA from 1 species
UUGGAGGGCAAGUCUGGUGCCAGCAGCCGCGGUAAUUCCAGCUCCAAUAGCGUAUAUUUAAGUUGUUGCAGUUAAAAAGCUCGUAGUUGAAUUUCGGGGUCAGUAGGUUGGUCGUGCCACUGGUAUGUACUGGUCUUACUGAUUCCUCCUUCCUGAUGAACCGUAAUGCCAUUAAUUUGGUGUUGCGGGGAAACUGGACUGUUACUUUGAAAAAAUUAGAGUGUUUAAAGCAGGCUAACGCUUGAAUACAUUAGCAUGGAAUAAUGAAAUAGGACGAUCGAUCCUAUUUUGUUGGUU